rnacentral:misc_RNA from 1 species
CAACAUCUUCUCUUGAGUGGGCAGGCAAUGAUUUUUUGGUUUACGGCACAAUGGAUGACAUACAUCGGGCUGAUAAGGUAUUUCUAUCCUAUUUCAGGUCUUAUCUUUAGGACUGAUUGCUGCAUCAUUCAAAAUAGCACUACCUUUCAUUGGUCAUGUAAUUGGUCCAGGCAACGAUCCCUUUAGGAGUGUGUAUUAUUCGGUUAUAAUCAAAUAACCGAACCGAACUGUUAAAAUUCGAUUAUUUUAAUAAGAGUAAAUUAGAUUCGGUUUGGCUUUCGG